AAGUCGUAACAAGGUUUCCGUAGGUGAACCUGCGGAAGGAUCAUUAUCAAACGUAUCCACGUUUAAUAACCAAUCGUGAACUGUUUCUUUAUGCCUCCAUAUGGUGAUGAAUGAGUGCAUUCUGGUUUGACGUUUUUUUCUUGAGCAAUCAAGAAAAAAGGAGCUUCUUUGUUUAAAGUGGUUUAAAAGCUCUAGUCUUACUGAUUGCCUACAGUACGGCUGCAUUCAUUACUAUUUGGUUGUAAUUUUAAACUACUUUUUCAUAUUUACCAUUUCAACAAUACCUUUUUUCUUUAUGAAAAACUGAAUUGUUUCAUAUUUUCGUCUCUUUCGGGAGCGAAAUUUGAAAUGAAUAAAUACGAAAAAAUAUAGAACAACUCUUAGCAACGGAUAUCUUGGUUCUC
rnacentral:misc_RNA from 1 species